CUGGCUUAGUGAAACAAGAGGGCAAAGGAAGCAAUCAGAUAUGCAUUUGUUUCACUUGAGCAGAGGGAUGACUUUGAUUUCUGUGUGCCCUUCAUCCACAAAGAAUUUCCUUGUGGGCAAACUGUGAGGGAGUAGAGAUCAGAACAGGACAAAUUCUUGUCCUUUCAUGUACCUCCAACUGACAUCAACUUGUAGAAACAGCACUGAAGAUGGUCUGAAUGGGAACUAUUACAACACUGGGAGAAAUAGAAGAUAAUCUUAUUAUCGGGGAAAUAGUUACUACAGCCACACCAGCGUACAAUAAUCUCAGGACUUCAGUGAAGCACAUGGAAUGGAUGACAUUGUCGUGGUCAUUCUUGGAAAUUACAGUCUGAAACUGAAGCAUAUGCAAAAUGCACCUGAAAAUUCAGACAUCUGUGCCUUGUAAGGAAAGGAGACACCACAGAUCACCCUUUGGGAGGUGAGUUUGAGAAACAAGGAGGCAUCUUCAUAGACAUUUGGUAGCUUGCCAACUUGAUAGGCUGUUUAAAUAACCUAAAACAGUGUUAUCCAAUCGAGGGCCAUUGAAAAAAAAGAGCAAUAAAAAUAGUGGAGCUAAGACCUGGGAGCCUCCCACCCACAACUGGCGACUGAUGACAUGAUGUCAGAUUCACUCCAUCUUUUAAAAUAUAAAUGAAAUAAAACAAAUGAAGCUGCCUUUGUAUCAUCCCUGCUUCUGUCUCC
rnacentral:lncRNA from 10 species